UACGUAGGGACCGAGCGUUGUCCGGAUUCAUUGGGCGUAAAGAGCUCGUAGGCGGCUGCUCAAGUCGAAUGUGAAACCUCGAGGCUUAACCUCGAGCCUGCAUUCGAUACUGGGCGGCUAGAGUCCGGAAGAGGAGAGUGGAAUUCCUGGUGUAGCGGUGAAAUGCGCAGAUAUCAGGAAGAACACCAAUGGCGAAGGCAGCUCUCUGGGACGGUACUGACGCUGAGACGCGAAAGCGUGGGGAGCGAACAGG
rnacentral:rRNA from 1 species